GAAACGCCGGUUAAUACCCCAUGCUUGCGUACGGGUUAGAGGCCGGAUGCAGAAAGGCCGAUGCGCUGAGGGAGGGGGCUGUGGACCAUCAGCUAGUUGGUAGGGUAACGGCCUACCAAGGCGACGACGGAUAGGGGGCCUGAGACGGUGACCCCCCACACGGGCACUGAGACACUGGCCCGACUCCUACGGGAGGCAGCAGUAAGGGAUAUUGCGACAAUGGGCGAAAGCCUGACGCAGCAACGCCGCGUGGAGGAUGAAGGCCUUCGGGUUGUAAACUCCUUUUCUGUGGGAAGAGGAAGGACGGUACCACAGGAAGAAGUCUCGGCUAACUACGUGCCAGCAGCCGCGGUAAAACGUAGGAGGCGAGCGUUAUCCGGAUUUACUGGGUGUAAAGCGCGUGCAGGCGGUCUGGUAAGUCGAGCGUGAAAGCUCCCGGCUCAACCGGGAGAGGACGUGCGAAACUGCGAGGGUAGAGACAGGUAGAGGCGUACGGAAUUCCGGGUGUAGUGGUGAAAUGCGUAGAUAUCCGGAGGAACACCAAGUGGCGAAGGCGGUACGCUGGGCCUGGUCUGACGCUAAGACGCGAAAGCAUGGGGAGCGAACGGGAUUAGAAACCCCGGUAGUCCAUGCCGUAAACGAUGCUAACUAGGUGUUGCGGGUAAAAGACCGGCAGUGCCGGAGUUAACGCGAUAAGUUAGCCACCUGGGGACUACGGUCGGCAAGGGCUAAAACUCAAAGGAAUUGACGGGGGGCCCCGCAACAAGCAGCUGGAGCGUGUGGUCUAAUUCGAGGCUACACGAAGAACCUUACCUGGGCUUGACAUGACGGUGGUAAGGGAACCGAAAGGGGACCGACCUUCGGGAGCCGUCACCAGGUGCUGC
rnacentral:rRNA from 1 species